UUAAAAUGCUGCCUCUGUAAAGGCAAUGAAUUUGUCCCUACUAGGACAAAGAAGUCAGAUGCUAGAAUCAAUUCCAUUUCUUCCAGGAACUCUCAGGGAUUAAACGGUUUUUUUUCUUUUAAUUUUAUUUUUAAUAUGAAGAAUCAGAUGUGGCACAUCUUCAACUCUUUUUUUCUUUUCUUUUUUUUUUUCUUUACUACAAGCUGCAAUGCUUUGAAGGUUUUUAAAAAGAGGAAGAGGAGGAGGAGGAGGAGGAGGAAGAAGAAGGAGAAGAAGAAAAAGAAAAGUAAAAGUCUUCCAGUCAACAGUUCUACUUGAGUUCAACUGAAUCUUUGCUGGAUGGACUCUGUGAAGACGUGAUCCCACCUACUGCAUCUAUCAAUGCUCUCCAGUUUCAGGAUGUUAUUCUGUUGCUGUUGUAUGGCAGUGACAUCAAGAUUGUGGUAACUGUGACUUAUGAUAAGAAAUACACUGUAUUUGGUCUUGUCCCUGUUUUCUGGCAUACAGCUCCUAUCUGCCUUGGAAUCUCCAAAAUGUGCACAACCUAGAACUUCCAGAACUAACAACUGUUGAAAAACAGUGUGAGAGUGGACAUCCUUACCUUGUUCCUGGUCUUGGUACCUGGCCUCAGACACUGCACCCAGCCCCUUCCAUCAGAUGCUAUUGCUGAUAGCAACGGGUAAGGCUAGCACAAGUUCAGAGGAUGUGGACAGAGCCUCCCCCUCUUGAAGAAAGCAGCAGCCAAGUCUCCUUGCAAAGAGGUAUGGAGAUGAGAUUCACUGGGGGCCGUCAAGGCAACAAUCUACCACCUGCUACAUUCUGACCCCAAUGACUCGCAUCCCUGCCCAAGAUUCCCAAAGUCUCAUCUUGUCCUAGCACUGGGUCCCUGCGCGUUUCAACAAGCCUGAGAUGUGUUGUGACAAUCUCCCACUUUGUUGUCUGGGCACAGCAAUAAAACCCAAGCUCCCCGAGUCUACCAAGGAAGGCCGCUAACUUUGGGAAGGGGUCUAAAAAUAAUUUUACAGUUAUGCCCAGUGUGUCAAUAUAGUUAAUGCUCACCUUAAAUAUGUAGUCAUGCAGCCAGCUGAAGGCAGCGCAGUGACUCACCUUCUCCCAGUGCGGCAGGACUUUCCCUGAUGAGUGAUCAAUGCUCUCCAUUAAAGGCUUCCUGUUUCCUUCUGACCCUGAAAACAGUAUGUAAGAGCUACACAUUCUGUGCACAGACAAAGAACAACACUCCACGGUGAAUUGCUUUUAUAACCCUUGGCAUUAUUUUCCAGUGAAUCGUAUCCUGUAAACAGGAACCUCAUGAGAAAACAUAAAUGAGCAAUAAUCAUUUCCUAUAUUGGUAAUCAGAUAAAAGUCCUGAUUCAAUUUCCAAUUGCUUUAACAUGCAUAAAACUUUCAGUGCAUCUAUAUCAGAAAGGCAAUUCCUGGAUUCAUUAUAUAUGUGUAUACACACAUAUAUAUACAUAAUGAUACACACACAUAAUGAUAUGUAUACAUA